CUUUCCCCUCAGUAGACAGCUUUGCAGGCUGUUCUUGUGUUUGCAGUCCCUGUGUAUAGCCUUCUCAAAAUACAAACGGCAUAUUUUGAGGUCUGGAGGCUAGAAGUCUGAAAUCAAGAAGUCUGCAUGCCCGUACUCCCUCCACAGGCUCUAGGGGAGGAUCCUUCCUUGCUUCUUCCAGCGUCUGGUGGCUCCAGGCAUGGAAAGAAUUCUCCCUGAAGAUUUGUGCCACAAAUAGCCCCAGAAGCUGGCUGAUUUUGGAGUCAUUGCUGCACUGAACCCAGAGCUCGCCAUGGCAUCUUGUUUAAGAAAAUUAAGUUUUCCCAUUCUUCCUCUUUAAGCUGGUGACCCUGGGUGGCAUGGAACUCUUACAGGAAAAGCUUGGAACUCUUGAGCUCAAAUCCAGUGUGUUGACAAGGUCCCAGUGGGAACCCCAUUCAGGCUGAAUGAAUUGGCAGUCAUUUCCAGGCUUAUCAGAUCACAUUCUCCUUGUCUUACUUAAUUUUGUGAAUCAACCCCAACUCAGGAGACCAGAAUCACAACAAGAAUUUCAUUUUUGCCAGACAAAGGGCUCAGCCAUGCAUUCAGCCAUCAAGUUUUCCUUGUCCUUCCCUGGGUCUGGAGUGAUAUAGACUGAAACAGUGGAUCCGUGUCAGGUUUUACUCAUGGCUGGACUGCCUUGUCACGCUCCUUGGCACCGAAGGAGUGUGAUUGAAUGUGUGUAGCUGUCAGAGGCAGAGGGGAGUCAAUAAUACCUGAUAUUUGCCUUGAAUUCCUGUUUUACCUUCACACAAUUAAAUCUUGCCUUCACAUUAUUUCAUUUGCUUUACUUGGAAAGGAGCUCUAACCUUGAAAAGGAUUGAAGUUGUGGCUUUAUUAUCCUUGAGGACAAUUCUAUGUAAUGUGUGGAAGAAGAGAGGAUUCCAAAGAGAUUCCUCUCUUGUCUUUUCCGUAUCAACUGCUUUGAGUCCUUUGUUUUCUUUCCUGGGCUCUUGUGUGGGUGACACAUCUGUGUUUAUAUACAGCUAGGCCAUAUCUCUCUCCCAAAGAGGCAGAAGAGCCAAACUACAUGUCUUCAGGAGGGGGAAGCAAGUUUUUCUCAACCUUAGUGAAUGAUGUUUCUAGAACAGGGUGGAUCUCUAAGCCCUUAAGGAUGAUGCUGUCUGUUCCAGAGAAUUCUAUAUAAAGUGUAUGUGUGUGCACGCUUCUUUCAGUUUUCUUCUCUUAAGAAGACAAUUAGCAGCAGCAUUCAACAUAGAGUCCUCAAAGGAUGAAAUCCUCCCAACAUUUAACUUGGGUCAUUUGGGAAUGUGUAAAUGUAGUUACUCUUCCAGGCCACCGUGGGGGGCUAUUUGGUGUACUCCUAAAUGUAGGACUUUUCACAUUGAAAAGAAUACACUGGAACAGACUUCCUGAUUCACAUCAACCAGCCAGGCCUGAUCCUUUCAUUACAAGGUUGAAGACCUGAAAACUGUGACCCCUGUUGCCUAGCAACUGAGAAGCUCAGCCUCAACUCCGGGUGGGGGAGAUGAUGGAGAAAGGACAAUUGCUCUGAGCUUUCAGUCACCAUGUGAGAAGUCUGGCUACCCUGAGGCCAGCACAUGCAGAGACCACAUGGAGAGAUGAGAGGCAGAGAGAGCCGCCCAAGGAACUCCAGCUGUUCCAGCACCCAGCUGUUUGAAUCCUCCCAGCCCAGGCACUAAACGUGAAUGAAAAGCUCUCAAGACAACCUCAGCCCUCGGACCCAGCCACAGACUGAUUGCCACUGUAUGAGAGACCUCAGAUGAAAACUGUCAAGUGGAGCCCGGCUAGCUAACAGAUUUAUAAGCAAAAUAAGUGAUUGUUAUUGUUUCAAGCCACCAUUUUGAAGUGGCUUUUCUGCAGCAAUAGAUGCCUGGAGGAGUCCUAAUAAUAAAAAUUAAUCAGAUGGAGGAUCUGCUUUUUUAUUUUCUCUUAGGACUAAGGAAAGGCUUGGUAUAAUCUUUGAACUGAGAUAAAGAAUAAGUUACUCUUAAAAUUUUCCAACAAAUGGAGUCCUUAUUGUCUGUAGUUAGUACCCAAAGCUUAGACACUUUCUCUCUACAUACCCUUCCAAGGAUAAGGCUGUAUUUUGUAAUGCCAGAUGACACAAUCUGAUAAACAAGCAGACACCCAUUAAAAUGAAUGAAUGUCAAAAUUUUUUCAUGCUUAUUUGUUAUUAACGACUGAGAAUGUGAAGGUGCAAUUCAAAUAGUUUAUUAUUGUUAUAGGUUUGUGGCAAUAUAUUACAGUUUACGCCUUGGCUUAGAAGUUGAUUACAAGUUUUAUGAGACUGAGUGCCUGUUAUUGGCAAUCUUGAUGUUUUCUUUUUCCCUGUAACAUGUCACAGACAAUUGAUUUAUAUG
rnacentral:lncRNA from 1 species